AUACUGGCAAGUCGAGGGGCAGCAUGGUGUAGCAUACACUGAUGGCGACCGGCAAACGGGUGCGGAACACGUACAGAACCUUCCUUCAAGCGGGGAAUAGCCCAGAGAAAUUUGGAUUAAUACCCCAUAGCAUAAUGGAGUGGCAUCACUUUGUUAUUAAAGAUUUAUCACUUGAAGAUGGCUGUGCGGCUGAUUAGGUAGUUGGCGGGGUAACGGCCCACCAAGCCUGCGAUCAGUAACUGGUGUGAGAGCACGACCAGUCACACGGGCACUGAGACACGGGCCCGACUCCUACGGGAGGCAGCAGUAAGGAAUAUUGGUCAAUGGACGAAAGUCUGAACCAGCCAUGCCGCGUGGAGGAUGAAGGUCCUCUGGAUUGUAAACUUCUUUUAUCUGGGACGAAAAAAGGUCUUUCUAGAUCGUCUGACGGUACCAGAUGAAUAAGCACCGGCUAACUCCGUGCCAGCAGCCGCGGUAAUACGGAGGGUGCAAGCGUUAUCCGGAUUCACUGGGUUUAAAGGGUGCGUAGGUGGGUUGGUAAGUCAGUGGUGAAAUCUUCGAGCUUAACUCGGAAACUGCCAUUGAUACUAUCAGUCUUGAAUAUUGUGGAGGUUAGCGGAAUAUGUCAUGUAGCGGUGAAAUGCUUAGAUAUGACAUAGAACGCCAAUUGCGAAGGCAGCUGGCUACACAUAUAUUGACACUGAGGCACGAAAGCGUGGGGAUCAAACAGGAUUAGAUACCCUGGUAGUCCACGCCCUAAACUAUGGAUACUCGACAUACGCGAUACACUGUGUGUGUCUGAGCGAAACCAUUAAGUAUCCCACCUGGGGAAGUACGAUCGCAAGAUUGAAACUCAAAGGGAAUUGGGCGGGGGUCCGCACAAGCGGUGGAACAUGGGGGUUUAAUUCGAUAAUACCCGAAGAAACCUUACCUGGGCUAGAAU
rnacentral:rRNA from 1 species